UGGGGAAUAUUGCACAAUGGGCGCAAGCCUGAUGCAGCCAUGCCGCGUGUGUGAAGAAGGCCUUCGGGUUGUAAAGCACUUUCAGCGGGGAGGAAGGCGAUAAGGUUAAUAACCUUGUCGAUUGACGUUACCCGCAGAAGAAGCACCGGCUAACUCCGUGCCAGCAGCCGCGGUAAUACGGAGGGUGCAAGCGUUAAUCGGAAUUACUGGGCGUAAAGCGCACGCAGGCGGUCUGUCAAGUCGGAUGUGAAAUCCCCGGGCUUAACCUGGGAACUGCAUUAGAAACUGGCAGGCUAGAGUCUUGUAGAGGGGGGUAGAAUUCCAGGUGUAGCGGUGAAAUGCGUAGAGAUCUGGAGGAAUACCGGUGGCGAAGGCGGCCCCCUGGACAAAGACUGACGCUCAGGUGCGAAAGCGUGGGGAGCAAACAGG
rnacentral:rRNA from 1 species